GAUGAACUCUAGCUACCGGCUUAACACAUGCAAGUCGAGGGACCGGCGCACGGGUGAGUAACACGUAUCCAACCUGCCCUUUACUCGGGGAUAGCCUUUCGAAAGAAAGAUUAAUACCCGAUAUAAAGGAUGGGGAUGCGUUCCAUUAGGUGGUUGGUGAGGUAACGGCCCACCAAGCCUUCGAUGGAUAGGGGCUCUGAGAGGAAGGACCCCCACAUUGAAACGGAGACACGGGCCAAACUCCUACGGUAGGCAGCAGUGAGGAAUAUUGGUCGAUGGGCGUUAGCCUGAACCAGCCAAGUAGCGUGAAGGAGGAAGGCUUAUGGGUCGUAAACUUCUGUUAUAUAAGAAUAUGUAUUAUAUGAAUAAGGAUCGGCUAACUCCGUGCCAGCAGCCGCGGUAAUAC
rnacentral:rRNA from 1 species